rnacentral:rRNA from 1 species
ACGUAGGCAGCGAGCGUUGUUCGGAGUUACUGGGCGUAAAGAGUGCGUAGGCGGUGGCCCAAGUCUGGAGUGAAAUCUCCCGGCUCGACCGGGAGGGUGCGCCGGAAACUGGGUUGCUUGAGUACUGGAGAGGCAAGCGGAAUUCCUGGUGUAGCGGUGAAAUGCGUAGAGAUGCGGAAGAACACCAGUGGCGAAGGCGGUUUACUGGUCUCCAACUGACACUGAACCGCGAAAGCAUGGGUAGCGAACGGGA